GUUUUCAUUUUCAAUCGAUUUGGUGCACCUCUGAAUUGAGAGAACGAGAAAAAGUCAAACAAAUCACUGCAUCAGGUGGAGGUGUAUUUUGGACGAGGGCUUGGAACAAUCUAUUAUUCGGGUGAUAGCAGUCUCGGGGAUUGAGGAGGCGAUGAUAAUGAUACAGCCCCCUUCAAUCGACCAUUCGCGAUCAUGAUUCGUUGGGCGGAUGAGGCGACUGAUAAAAUUAUAACGAGUGACAACUCCAUCCUUAAUAACAACGACACUGUCGACGACAGACUAUUAUCACUGAGCUGCAAUGUCGACGAUAAUGGUGAAAAUGAAGACGCUGAGGGUAUUACAUUCACCUCGUGCCUGAUCAGCAUCGCUGGGGGAAUAAGGGGGUUCGAGUAUCCGGUGAUUUACGCGAAUGAUAGAAACUCAGUCGAUGGCUGGAGGAUUAAUGAUUUAUUUCAAUGCUGUUGCGGUGUUGAGAGAUGCUGGGGAAGGUGUGAGUGUGUAACGUGGGCUCUCAAGGAUAUUCAGUUCGUUUGUAAUCGGUGUUGGUCACUUGGUGGCGGAUGACUUCGUCAGGUACAGAUGGCAUUGUAGUAUUAGACUUUUAUCUAGUUGAUAUACCAGUUGGGGGACUUAGAUUGUCGUCGCUGACGCGUCGUAGACGGAGACGGUGGUGCACUUUGUUAACUGUGAUUACACGUACGAUUGUUUUACCGUGAUGGCGGACCUACCUGAUAUGUCCCAUCUUACACCGGAGGAGAGGAGGAUCAUCGAGGGGGUUAUGAUGCGGCAGAAGCAGGAGGAAGAGCAUGAGAAUGAGAUCAUGAGGCGAAAGCAGGAUGAGGUUCAGAUACUCGAGGAUACAAUCCGUGCGCGCUCCGAGAAGCACAAGAAAGCGGGCAUCGAGUUGGACGAUACAUGCCACAUAUGCAUGAAAACCAAGUUUGCGGACGGCGUUGGUCAUAUCUGCAACUACUGCAACAUACGGUGCUGUGCCCGUUGCGGUGGCAAAGUCACCCUCAGAUCGAACAAGGUGAUAUGGGUAUGCAUCCUGUGUCGUAAGAAACAAGAGCUCCUCUCGAAAACGGGUCAAUGGAUGGUUAAGUCGGGCCUGGGCGCUGCGGACCAAGCGAUGCUCAGGCGAAUGCAGGAGGAUAUGCAGGGCACCCCGGGCCUCACCGACUUGACCCAGGACAAGAGACCAAAGCUUGAACGUGCUCGCAGUGCCGCCGAGAAGGAGAAUCUACCGCUACUCCAGAGCAGUGGAAGUCUACUCAGACGUCAGUACUCCCAACAGGAACAGAUGCCACCGCGGAGAAUGUCCACCAGCGACAGUGGGGUGGAGAUGUCCGUGUCGCCGCACUCCAGAAGCCUACCGACUCCUCACGUUGUCGUUGGUUCCUAUCCACAACAAACGCCGAGACAUCCCGCUGCCUUUCCCGAGGAUGAUCCCAAUCUUUAUCGGGGUGAAUUGGAUGGUCUCAUGAGGAAACAUGCACAGACUUAUCAGAGAACGAGACAAAUUUAUAAAGAAAACUCGGAUAUUUCAAUGGGCUACCCUCACCCGGGAGUAGACUCGUCUCGAGUUCACCUGAGUCAGCAGCACUCAGUGUAUCCAGUACAAGUUGGUCAUCCCUCCCAGCCGCCAUCGGGUAGCGUUCCUGGUUCCCUCCACCAACAGCGGAGUUUCAGUAGCAGUGAGGAGGAGCGCAGUACCCCCGAGUGCGCGAGUGACGAGCCAGACGAGUCCGAGAAGGGGAAGGGGUACUAUCAUCACGGGGGAGGCACAUCUUCGAUGUCCGGCGGUUCUCGUAGACACGGAUCUCACAAUGGACAUCAUGUUACUGGCUCCAUGGCCAUUGAGUACAAUGGCCAUCACCCACCGCGAGAGCCUCGAAAAGAGGAGAGUACCCUCGUGAGGAGGAGCUUCCGAAGAAGCGGCGACGAGUGGCGCGCCGACAGUCGGAGGUUCACUGAGAGGAGGGGGAAAAAGACAGUGAGAUUCGACGGUGGGACCAAUGUAGCUGGCUCACAGGAGGACUGGUCUUGGGAGGCGGAUCGUCAAGGUAGCCAAGACAGCGCAACCAAAGACUCAGGAAUAGAUACAUCAAGUACAUUCACAAGCAGUGAAGACAGCAAUCGUGGUGAUUUACCAAAGCAACCGUUGUCGUGGCAGGGGAGUAGUGAUGGGCAGAAGACAAUUGGCCACAUGAUCCUGAGGAAGUCAGCGUCCGGGAGCAGUAGUAUCCUCGGGCUCAAGGUUGUGGGAGGAAAGCUACUGGAUGACGAUAGAGUUGGGGCACUCAUCGAGAAGGUGAAGAAGGGGAGUGCCGCCGAUGUCGAGGGACAGUUGAGGCCAGGGGACGAGGUGAUCGAGUGGAACGGCCACUGCCUCCAAGGUAAAUCAUUUCAAGAAGUUUACGACAUAAUAGCAGCAUCGAGGGACGAAUCCCAGGUAGAAUUAUUCGUCUCGAGAAGUCUCUCCGGCCCAGCAAGUACACCAAUGAUGACCGGCAUGCCCACCACCAUAAUGCCAAUGACAUCUCGUCGCAUAACAGCGCAGACUCAGUGGAGACAGAAGCACGAGCCCAUGCCAGUGCCCCACCAGCCUCACCACAAAGAGCUUUAUGAUGUGAGGAGAGAUAAACCAUCGGUGCUGGUGACUUCUCCUGGCUCGCCAGAUCUCAAUGCACAGGGCAGGGCUAGACAUCAGCGGCAUCCAACGGGCGAUCCUAAUGUGGGGGGACGACUGCAACUGCAUCUGAGAUAUGAUUAUAAUCGUUGUGAGCUUAAUGUUGACGUUAUUUGCGCCAGCGAUCUGCAGAAGAGGGUCAAUGGACAGUUGAGGCAUGCUUAUGCGAGGAUCUAUCUGCUUCCGGACAAAAGUGAAGGAACGAAGAGAAGAACGAAAACAGUGGCGAACACGAAUGCCCCUCAGUGGAACGAGACAUUUGUCUACAACGUGAGAAAGUUCUCGGAGCUCAAGUACAAAUCGUUGGAGGUUACUGUUUGGGAUAACGUCAGGUACGGGGCAAAUGACUUUCUCGGUGAAGCGAUUGUCGAGCUCGCUUACCUCCCCGAGACACCACAGUGGCACUACUUGCUUGCCCACGACGACAGACGUCACAUCGGGCAGUACCAGGAGCCGUCCGACGACAUCGCGAUAACCCCGGUUGACUGUCACCUGAGCCCACCGUCGACGACGUCCAGAUUGAGCGACUCGGACACGUCCGAGUACGACAUUACGGACGGUGACGUAUCCCAGCAGAGGAGAGGAGCCGAUGGGGCUAGCAUCAGCAGCAUCGGCAGCUCAUCGAGGUUUCAUAAUAUGCCGUCAAAUUAUAAGCGCCACUAUUCCAGCCCGCCACCUGAGAGGGAUCUUUGUAUGGACAGUGAGCAUCGGAGCCGGAGGGAUAUGUCACCCCAGGGGAGAAAGAGAGCCGCAUUAAUGAUAUCGAGGGAACAACCAGUCUCCAUGUCCAUGUCUUAUUCACCGUAUAGAAAGGACGAAGCGCCGCGCAGUAUGAUGGGUCACAGAUCCCAGAGCGCUGCCCCCAUGGACUCGCCGAACCUUCACUACCGGGGUAGAUCGCAGAGUCCCACUGGUCAUCGUUCACUAUCACCACCAGAGCAGAGAUCCAUCCCUUAUUCCCAUGGCUACAUGCCAGCCAGAUUUGGAUCGCGAUCAGCUACUGCCACGCCCACUGGAUCACCCAAAAAACGACAAUUGCCACAGAUACCUGCUAAAUUGCAUGCAGCAUUGAAGGAGAGAGUUGCGCAGGAUCUCGAGGAGAGAGCGAGACUGAUGAGGCACAGGAACAGACAGAUGCAUACGACGUACAGGAGCACGGGAAUGGGAGGAUGGGAAAGACAUUACAGUGGGCUAUCAGACUCUGAUCUCCUGUCAAUAGGCCACGAGCCCCAAUCCCUAAUGCACGGUCACAGAGUGCCCAGAGUAAGAAGAGGACACCUGAGUCCCGACAAAGAUGUUCUCGGUGAUUUUGGUGAUUCUGAUAUGGAGAGUAUUGCAUCAGUGGCGAGCAGUACAUUCAGCACGCAGUCGGAGCGGCCGCGUGGCUCUAGAACCUUCAUACCGACAGUUAAAAACGUAUUGAUACCCAGUGUCAUAUCCCCAUUGACCCAAACCCCUAGACGCAAUAGGCGUAGGCACAAAAUUAGGGUACCCAGCAGUGAAUGCCAUUGCCAAUUAAACUGCAACAGUUGUCCUACUAAGACCUGUAUAAACCCAAACAAGCAUCAUAAUAAUCCCACCUCCUACCAUCAACCCCUCGUACGGAGCAAAUCCGCAGUCGUUCGCUCGAUGCACAGAAAGAUGCGUGUGCCACUUGCAAGAUCCAAGACAUUUGAUGACAAUCUCGUGAGAUGGAGCAGUCCUGAGUCGAGUGAGCCGAGUUGCACGAUGAAUUACAUGAAUUUUAAGAAGAAAGGAUCACUCAUACCUGAGAUACACGUUGAAGAAUGUGUCAAUCAUCCGGAGGACACGGCGAGUUUAGACAGAAAGUUUCUGAGAACCCGAUUGAAACAUCGUGAUUUUGGAAAUUAUCAGAAGCGAUCGCUCAUGGAGAUGAGAGCAAGAAGUUUUGACUACAACGUUGCUGACGAUUCGUUUGUCGAUGGGCACGAUAGAAUCGACAUGGAGUACCCGAGACGCGCCAAAAGUGUUGAUUACGAGGCUGUAUCGAAUAUAUUCAGCGACGACAGCUUGCGAACAGCGAGGAGGAAAGUCAAGAAGAAUUUGUCGAACAGUGGAGAACACCUUCCAUCUAUGAAUGAUCGCAGCAAGUCUUACUACGACUCGAAUGGCUCCAGCUCCAUCCAGACCUCGGAGACGGCAGACCACGAGGAGGAUCACGAGAAGAAGUUCUAUCACGAUACCGAUCUCUACCCCUCCAAGUUGGAGUCUGCGUUUGAGAAUAGACUGUCAUCCAUGGGGCUCGAUUGCCGUAGCUUCUCAGACGACGCCUAUCGCAAUGUCAUCGCGCGUCAAGAGAAUAAGCAGAAAUACGAGGCUCACCUGGCUGAGAUAAGCCUAAAGUCCAAUCGUAGUCAGUCACCAAAUAGCAAGGCAAAGAGUCUAGAGGAACACCUCUACGAUCUCUUGGAGAGUGACCACAUCUACUGCAGCAUCGACGACAACAACACAGAUCCCUGUCCCUGCUUGAUUGAUCCUCUUGACUGUAAUUUCGAUGUCGUAGAUACUUCAACAAGUAGAACAAGUAAUUUUGAUAAUUCCGUCCCUCGACGACGAACGAGUCAAUUGGAUUCUGAGGAGUACAAUCCCAGAAGGUCCUUGCGUCGUCGAACUAAAAGUACAGACUCAUACUUGGAGGACAAUUACGAUGAGUGCAAGAAUUCAAGUGUUGAUUAUUUGUACUCGGAGAACGACAAGUCCCAAUCUGGGAUGUCUCGUCAGUCGGAAAUUCACGACGAUUACCGGGGCAGAAGUAGUAGUUUCCCAGGGAGGUUUGACUACUCAACUUGCGAUCCAUCCGCUAAUUACUCGAGCAAUGAAUCAAGUCCUCCAGGCCGGAGAAGACGGAGAAGCACGAGAGAUUUGCAACAGUCCCUGGACUACGAUUCCCAUUCUCACGCAUAUCGAAGAGCACGAAUGAGCAGUUUAGAAGUGCCGAGUUUCUCGCAGAGCAAGCGUAUGAUGCUGGAGCGUGCAGAGUCAACUCCUACUCUUGUACCAGACGACGAGGAGAUCGAGGACGCUUGGGAGCGCGCCAGACGGCUGUCAAGAAGACGUCGAAACAGCAGUUGCCCGGAGGCAAGAGAUAUGAGAAAUCUCGAGAGUCCUGGCAGAGAACAACCAGAGUCACCAAGCUUUUUCAUGGGCUCUGACGAUGAUUUUGGCUCGGUUGAAACUGUAGUAUCCCCAGAUUACCGUAAUAAUUCCAAGGACGAGGUUGAUAAACGACCACGUGGAUUCCGUCCAAGGUAUUCGUCCAAGGACUACGUUGACUUUAAAAUACAAAUGCGUACGGACAGAUCAAGCUCAUACCCUGGCCCCGUUAGAUUCGACAACGACGACAUUGACUACAAGAAUCGCAAGACGAGUUGUCCAGAGUGUCGUGACUUUUUCCAGCCUUUACAAAGCGAGAGAGGAGACUCAUCCCAUCAACACCAAGAUGACUCAAAUGCAUCGCCAGAGUACGAAAAGCAUCGACCCCUUGCUUACCAGAAACAAGAGCGCGAAAAGCAUCUCCGUAAAGUUGAAUCGGAGAAGGAUCAGGGAGGCAAGAGAAAUGUCGCUAUAAGCGACACCCUAGAAUAUUACGAAUACUCAAUGGAAAGUGAGAGCCAGUGCAGCGAGAACUGCGGAUUUGGCCCGUACGAUACACUUAGGCCCCGUAACCGAGCACCCCGACCCGGUAAAGCUAAUUCAAAUAUCUUUGAUUCCCAAACCGCCACCUCCGACACUGCUAAAAACCCACGGGCCAACGUACACGAUACUACCCAAUCGUCACAUCACGUUAAACGUGAAAAUGAACAACGUCGGAUGCACGACGACACCGUGACAACUGAAAUGCACUCGACUACGUCGAAAUCUGAUGGCAAUUCCGGUGCUAAUGACAAUUCCACGAUCGAUAAAUCACGCACUAGUGGCAGUGAUUAUGCCAGUCCCAGCAGUUCGUAUGAGAAAACUUCAUCGAGACAUCAAGUUCCUGGAGAUGGGCACAAUGGGCUUGCUAAGAGGGGACAGUUCACCAGGAGUUUGAGUAAUGCUGAUGCACCGCCUGAUGAGAAAGUUGCGGACGGAAGCUUGAGUGAUACAGCAGUCGGUCUUCAUGUCGAGGAGGCAACUAGAAGAGGAAGAAAAAGUUCACCGGGCAGUAAGAGCGGAAGUGGCAGCAGCAGCGGUGGAGGCAGUGCUGUGCAGUAUCAGAGCGGUCUCUCGAAAAAGAGCAGCAGCACGAGCCAACUGUCAGCGACAGAGUGCGGUGUGGUUGGAAGCGGUACGGAAACAAGGUCCUCCGGUGUAGCUAGCCGAAAAAGGAACAGCACACCAAGCAGCUUUCAACGAUCCCAGGAGGUCGUACCCUCUUAUCAGCGACUCGGUGCAACCAGACAGGGUGGCUCGGUAGCAAGUGACACAGCUGGAUCCCUCAACUCAAUCUCUAGUUCUGAAGCAAGCUCUUGGUCACCGUGCAUGAGAACAGCAGCUGAGGGCGGUCAGCUAAGUGAGUUUAUUGAUGGACUUGGACCGGGUCAGUUGGUUGGUAGACAGGUGCUGGGGGCUUCUUCACUCGGUGAUAUUCAGUUAUCACUGAAAUACCAAAAGGGGGUGCUGGAUGUCGAGGUCAUACGGGCAAGGGAUUUGCAGGUGAAACCAGGCUUCAAAGUGCUACCAGCUCCUUACGUAAAGGUUUAUCUAGUCAAUGGGAAAAAGUGUAUAGAAAAGGCGAAAACUACGACGGCCGCGAGGAAAACGUUGGAACCUUUCUACCAACAAACUCUAACAUUCAGGGAAAACUUUCAGGGGUGCUAUUUACAGGUAACGGUAUGGGGUGACUAUGGCCGAAUAGAGGGGAAAAAAGUUUUCAUGGGUGUUGCACAGAUAGCGCUGGACCAUCUUAACCUGAGUGAGGAGGUGUUCGGAUGGUACAAACUCUUCGGCAGCACGUCCCUGGUCAGUGGUCCUCCAUCCUUAGCAUUAUCGCGUCGCUCCUCGGCCGCCUCUCUGGACUCUCUCAAAUUAUGAAAGCUAAUCGAGAUUCCCAAACUAAUCAGAAAUUAACUGCCCCAAAGCAACGAUUACAAAAUUCAGAAAGAGCAAACAACGCAAUCGAUAUCAGAUUCACUGUUUUCGUGUAUUGAAGAAUUUUAUCGUUAAAGAUACAUAUAUUCGAACGGAUAUGUAACGUUACGAAGAGCAUUAUUCGGAUGUGAACGUGCACGUCAUAUCUGAUGAUUUCAUGCUCAAAAUGAUUGAGCACACUCGCCGAAUGUGGAAUUUAGGUCGCUUGUUGUUAGAGAUUAAGACCCCAAAAGUCAUUAAUUGACGUUCUGACGGAGUUUGAAUGUUUUUUAAGGGAGUAAUUAUUAACUUGCCAUUUCUUUUGAAAAGAAAGAUUAAAGGAUUGUUAUGAUCUGCGCGUGAUUGACGGCUCUGAAUACGGUAAUCCACGUGUAGUGUACGACAUUCAUGAACAAAUUAUAAGGAGCAAUUCUUCGCGGCCAGAGGAGUGCAAAUGUGAAGGAUAUUUUUUGCAAUAACAGAGAUUAUAAAGAUAUUUAAAAGAAAAACGUACCACUUAAAGCACAUCACAUAUCAUGUCAGAUGAACUAGUCUUUAGGUAGACUAGCUGUAGACGUAGCGGCCAUGUAACCGGAUCGCCAGAUAGCUUUAGUGAAAUCAAUGGAGCUCGAGUGAACGUCAUGCUGACAUAAACUCGAACGUGGUGUGUCUAUCAAAGUGAAAACCAAAGAAGAAACAGCAUUGCAUGUAAAAAAAUGUGAUCGACGUAAGUGGACGAUCGGUUGAGUGCGAAAAACUGAAUAAUCGCGUCAGUGAUUUAAAAAUAGCGAUAAUGAACUUUGAGAAAAUUAAUUCGAUGAAUGUAUCCAUCAGGCCGGUAGCCGAGGGAAUUAAUACCGGUCGUGAACAAUAUACAGAUAUAUGUAUAGAUAUAAAGAAACUAUGAACCGUUGCUAUAUUUGUAUAUAAAUUGGGACACGCCGUGAAAAGGUUUUUAAAUUUAGAAAUCUUUCAAUUCUAUUGACUGCUGAGUGCGAGCGAUGUUCAAACCUUGAAUUUAAUUCAUCUACUCUUGUUUCAUAAUCUUAUUAUAUUCACAUUUACGUUGUCGUGUACUCACGCCAUUGUACGCCAUCGACAGACAGUGAAGAAGAUACGAAUUCAAGUUGAAUCACAAUAUUCGGGUGAAAAAUUUAUUUGUCACUGUGUGCGUACCUUGGUGUAAAUAAUUGUACGGCGAGGAGGUAUGCAUGCAUCUCGAAUAUUGCGUGACUGAAAAGCGCCGUGUGAUGAAUAAGAUAUGUUGAAUAAUUAGGGGGAAAUAUAAAGAGACUUGCAUUAUGUUUUUAACUGCCUGGUAAAUGUUUUUCUCAUUGAGAAUUCAAAGUUUUUCAUUUGAACUUGCAUUCAUCCUAGGGUAAAUAAUAUUUUUGUUAUUGAAUUUAUUCGAUUAUGUGAAUCACAAUCGAGUGAAUGGAGUGAUUCGAUUUAGGAGAAAAAUAGGAUUUGUAUUUUAUUGUAUAGCUGUUGAUCGUCAUGUUAUCAAUUAACUUCAUCCGUGUUUGCACGUCGCAUGGUUGCACGCAGAUAAACAACGGCAAACUAAGAAGGAAAAUUUGUUGAAGAAAAAAAUACGAAUUCGCUCAUCACCUCAUGUCAACUUGUUUUAAUUCAACUUGAUUCAGUAUAAUUUCGGAAGCCUAGACUAUUUGCUGGGGUUCACAUCACCGUAGGCAGCAUUUGAAUUAAAAAGAACAUUCGAAACGAUCGUGAGAGCGAUGGAAGUAUCUUAUCAUAUCUAUAAUGUGCUUAACUAAAAUUAGAAGGAAAUAAAAAGAAAAUAAACGAAACAACCAUAAAUUGAAAAAAAAAAUUAAAACAACAAAACAAGGAGGAUUUUUUACUCAUGAAAACAAAUAAAUACUGAAUUUUAGAGUCGUAAAGAAUAACCGAGGAUUAUAAAAAAAAAUAUAACAAUUGAUGAAACAUUGUAAGUACUGUGAAAAAGACAAGCUGAAAAACCAAAAAUUAAAAAAAAAUAACGACUUAACGAGUAAGCUGAAAUUUCUAAGUAAAACUUUUUGCAAAGUGUGAGUGGGCGAACUAUAGUCACAGGGGGUCAAAUAAAUGGAUAAAACAACUACAAGUAACAAGAGAGAAUAACAAACACUGUAAUAGCGUGAACAAAAUUGGAGAAUGGAUAAAUAUACGAGACUAUCGAUAAUGUAAAAUGUUCAGUUUGUAAUCCGCCAUAUUGCGCGUCUAUUCUACUCCCUGAAAUCAAUCACCAAGCUCUAUGAUUUUUCAUUAACCCUGCAUUAAUUUCAAUGAUUCAUGACAAUUUUUGAUGCUAUCGAACAUCACCAGGGAAUAGAAAGACGCGGACUGUUACGCGCUUUGAAAAAAAAAACAUAAAAUAUUGCAUAUCCUAUUCAGACGUAGAUCUUUGAUAACUUACUAAAAAAAAACAAAAAAAUAAAAAACUAACGAAUGAAAGAAGCAACACCGAGAAAAUACUUUAGACUUGACAGACGGGAAUGUUUGAAUUUUUUCUUAGACUUUUCUACGAAAGAGUGUGUCGUGUAUUCGUGAGAGUACUACCGGUCGAGAUUUAAGGGGAUAAAAAGGAUUAGUGAGAGUCAUUAGUGAUGAUUUGUUUGAGUUGAGUGGGAGGGGGGAGGGAGGGGCGAAUUUCUAAUGCAAAAUUUCAAACAACAAUCCAUUGGGCACAUCCAAAUGUUGCACAUACCAUUAAAGAUUGCACCGUGUCGUUGAAUAUUGUAAUAAAAGUUGAAGCGAUGAAAAACGAUCGUGAGGAUGAUGAUGAGUGAAUUACAAUGAAACAAAUCAUUUGAGAGUGUGCUGUGCUUCGUUGAUACCCGCAAAGUGGCAUAGCAAGAGUUAAAAUCAAGUUAAUCAGAUAAAUCGAUGGAAAAAAAACUGAAAAAUGAAUCAAUACCAAAAUCGUUUGAAUUACGUCUUCUUUUGACCCGCUGUGAGUGACAGAAAGACUGCCUCUUUUGCCAUUGAAAAUUCAUUUUCACUAAACUUGAAAAAAAAAAUAAACGAAGAAACGAAAAAUUGAUACAUAUUAUUUACGUUAAUCAUUUGAGAAAGUAUAUGAAAACUGAUUCCUACCCUUGCCUUGCCGAUUUGUAAAUAGGCGUGCUCAAUUCGAUAGCUCGGCGGUGAAUCAUGGAUACAUUUAAUCUUAAUAACGAAUCGUAAAUUUCAACAAAAAUAAUAAAUGAAAGAAUAAAAAAAAAUUAAUAUCCGACUUUGUACCUAUAUACUAAUUAAACUUAACAAAGCGAAAAAAAAAAAACUUACGAUUAAAAAUAUCUGGAUUGCACACGAAUGCUUAUUUCGAUGACAUUGAAUGAUCAUUUUGGGGGAAACUGAAGCAUUGAGAACCAAAUAACAUCAGCAAUUUAAACAAUUAUAUCAUCCAAGCGCAAUGGGGUACCACUUUUGUCAAAUUUAACGAGCCAACUUAGGGUUUUAAAAGAAUUGAUGAGUAAUGAGGUGUGACACAGGAACAAAUGGAAAAUUACGAAGUGCGGAUUAACGACAAUGCCAACAAUUUAUUAAUUAUCAAAUUAAUUAACGACUACCUUGUAGAGUCGAGUCCAAAAAAAACAUGUAGGAUAAGUUAUCUUGUAUCUUGUAUUUAAUGUCACGACUGAUUCGUGCGGGGAGACACUCAAUGAAUAAUUUCAGAAGAGAGAAAUUUCAUACGCACGAGUCGGUCGUAAAAUGGUGAUCCUUACCUUUACUAACAAAACACGAUAAAAGCAAGAAAAAAAACAAUUAACGAUGAGGUGAAAAUUACUACUCGAGUUUAGACGAAAUAAUCGGGACAGGCUUCGUACAUUUCUAAUUUGUCAAUGGUGAUAUAAAACAAAAUGUGAAAUACGACCGUGUACUUAUUGUUUCCCUUGAGAGCGCGUGGUAUGUGAGAAUGUAAAAUUAAACAAAAUAAAUCUCUCAGAGUGAAAUGAAAAAAAAAAAUCCGAAAAACCAAGAACGAAACCUAAGCAAAUACGAUUAGAAAAAAAAAACGUUUUCUCGAAGAGUCUCCACGAAUUUCCGUCAUUCGGCGUCUGAGUCUACUGAUUUACGACUAAAAAGUGAUUUCUCGGAAACUAUAUAAAAAAUUAUAUUAUAGGGAACAAGACGUUUGUCGAAGACUGUACAUAUUGCAUGAGCGAUCAGCCCAAAAAUGAGAAAUCAAUUUUUAUGAUACCAUUAGAAAUUAUUUGGGGGGAUGGAUUUUCGUGGGGGCUGGUUGGGGAAUAAUUAAUAUAAAGCGUUAGUGACUGUAUCCAGUAUAAUAUACCAGGUAAAAAAGAUACCCCCAAUGCCAGACAUGGCGUGUGACAAUAAAGUGAUUCAAUGAUA